ensembl:snRNA LOC120093939 U7 small nuclear RNA
GAGAGCAAACGCUCUUUAAGAUUUUUUCUAGCAGAAUUUCUGACUUUGGAUGGAAAACCCAA